rnacentral:rRNA from 1 species
AUUGAACGCUGGCGGCAGGCCUAACACAUGCAAGUCGAGCGGAUGAAGAGAGCUUGCUCCUGGAUUCAGCGGCGGACGGGUGAGUAAUGCCUAGGAAUCUGCCUGGUAGUGGGGGAUAACGUCCGGAAACGGGCGCUAAUACCGCAUACGUCCUGAGGGAGAAAGUGGGGGAUCUUCGGACCUCACGCUAUCAGAUGAGCCUAGGUCGGAUUAGCUAGUUGGUGGGGUAAAGGCCUACCAAGGCGACGAUCCGUAACUGGUCUGAGAGGAUGAUCAGUCACACUGGAACUGAGACACGGUCCAGACUCCUACGGGAGGCAGCAGUGGGGAAUAUUGGACAAUGGGCGAAAGCCUGAUCCAGCCAUGCCGCGUGUGUGAAGAAGGUCUUCGGAUUGUAAAGCACUUUAAGUUGGGAGGAAGGGCAGUAAGUUAAUACCUUGCUGUUUUGACGUUACCAACAGAAUAAGCACCGGCCAACUUCGUG